rnacentral:rRNA from 1 species
UACGUAGGGUGCAAGCGUUGUCCGGAAUUAUUGGGCGUAAAGAGCUCGUAGGCGGUUCGUCGCGUCGGCUGUGAAAACCCGAGGCUCAACCUCGGGCCUGCAGUCGAUACGGGCAGGCUAGAAUUCGGUAGGGGAGACUGGAAUUCCUGGUGUAGCGGUGAAAUGCGCAGAUAUCAGGAGGAACACCGGUGGCGAAGGCGGGUCUCUGGGCCGAUAUUGACGCUGAGGAGCGAAAGCGUGGGGAGCGAACAGG